UAACGCGUGAGGAACCUGCCUCAAAGAGGGGGACAACAGUUGGAAACGACUGCUAAUACCGCAUAAGCCCACGGGUCGGCAUCGACCAGAGGGAAAAGGAGCAAUCCGCUUUGAGAUGGCCUCGCGUCCGAUUAGCUAGUUGGUGAGGUAACGGCCCACCAAGGCAACGAUCGGUAGCCGGACUGAGAGGUUGAACGGCCACAUUGGGACUGAGACACGGCCCAGACUCCUACGGGAGGCAGCAGUGGGGAAUAUUGCACAAUGGGGGAAACCCUGAUGCAGCGACGCCGCGUGGAGGAAGAAGGUCUUCGGAUUGUAAACUCCUGUUGUUGAGGAAGAUAAUGACGGUACUCAACAAGGAAGUGACGGCUAACUACGUGCCAGCAGCCGCGGUAAAACGUAGGUCACAAGCGUUGUCCGGAAUUACUGGGUGUAAAGGGAGCGCAGGCGGGAAGACAAGUUGGAAGUGAAAUCCAUGGGCUCAACCCAUGAACUGCUUUCAAAACUGUUUUUCUUGAGUAGUGCAGAGGUAGGCGGAAUUCCCGGUGUAGCGGUGGAAUGCGUAGAUAUCGGGAGGAACACCAGUGGCGAAGGCGGCCUACUGGGCACCAACUGACGCUGAGGCUCGAAAGUGUGGGUAGCAAACAGGAUUAGAUACCCUGGUAGUCCACACCGUAAACGAUGAUUACUAGGUGU
rnacentral:rRNA from 1 species